rnacentral:lncRNA from 1 species
AUUCAGACAUAAUCAUAUUUGAAACUCGUUUUCUAAUUUACUAAGUUUAUAGUCUUUGAUAAAUUACCUGUUUUCUCCAUUUUAGCUCCUUUGCUAGAAAAAAAUGGGAAUAAUUGUACUUACCCGAGGUGCAAGAAAUAUACUAGACUGUGUAAAGCACAAUGGCACCCAGCACAAGCUGUGCAGGUGGUAGCUGGGUUUCAUCAUGAUUACGGACAAUGCCUGCUUUAUUUCUAGGUGGAACACCACUAAUCAGCCACCCACCCACACUGUUAAGUGGGUUGAUGCAGCUGGGCUUCGAUGAGGGCAUGUACUGGAAUCAGACACCCAGCAUCAUCAUUCACCAGGGGAAUGUUCCUCAGUGAAGGAAGUAUAUUUUGGGAACCUCACAUUCCUCAUUUAGAAACUUAGGCACAUAAGAGAAUGUCUGUGAACCUCAGAUUCCUAAUCUGUAAAAUGGGAAUGAUAACACCUGUUUUGCAGGGCUGGUGUUGGGAUUAAAAGAGAUAACUAUGUGAAGUGCUGGAGGAUGAUUCAAAUCCAAUAAAUUACAUUUGUUAUUAUUACUGCCUCGAAUUAUUCUGCUUUCAAUUCUUGGUAAUUUAAAAUUGUUAUCUUUUGAUUUUCUUUUCUAACCUCUUAUAUUAGUUUCUUCUUUGGAUGAUACUCAUUUAGUACUCAAGAACUAUCCCAUCUCUGUCUGCCCUUUACAUAUUGAAACUCUCUUGCUAACUUUGUCUCCCUCCCUCUCUUUCAUAAACCAUUUAUGCCACUUCCCCAGUAUGGAAACAGUAACACACUCCAGGAAAUUCAGUUUCCGUCUUGAAUAUACACCUGCUUUGCAUUCUACCUGCAAUAGCUUGAACCCAUCCAGUAUGGUGUUUAUCACUUUAACUUGACUUUGUUGGUACCCUGAAACAGAAGGAUUCUUUCUCCCUCCCCUCCCCUCCCUCCCUCCCUCCUUUCUUUCUUUCCUUCCUUCCUUCCUUCCUUCCUUCCUUCCUUCCUUCCUUCCUUCCUUCCUUCCUUCCUUCCUUCCCUCCUCUCUUUCUCAAUCUCUCUCUCUCUUUUUUCUCUCUCUCACUCUUUCUUUUUCUCUUUCUGGCACUCCUUUUUUUAAAAAAGAAACUUGUACACACAACAUUGCAUAUACUAUUUCACAGUCAAAAAAUGAUAGAAUAAUUUUUAGGAAAUGAGAGUUGCAGCAAACAAGUAAUAACUAAGGAACUCUUGAACUUUUGUCAUCUUUUUAAGCGAGGGACAUUUUUUAGAAAAUAGAUUGGACUCUAAGAGUAGAUGAACUUUUCUGUGAAAAUAUUCUAAAUUCUGUAAUUUAGAAAAGUAACCCUAUUUGUUUUUUCACUCCUUUAAAAGUUACCUAAAAUUAUGUGGAAGAAGACUGCCAUCUUGAAAUAGUAGUUUGGUUUUGGAACUAUGCAAUUGCAGCAGGCCAAGAAAAAAAAGGAUGAAUUGGAUAAAAUCGAACUCUCCUUCUCAAUAUGGAAGACUUUUGGGGCUUUUUUUGCAAUUGCAAAGGACUGUCAUGGUCUAAAUUGCCAAAUUCUAUGCUUGGUUCUGUUUUCUCUAUAAGUGAAAAUUCCCAUAACCACUGGCCAUCUGAUUAGUAUAUUGAAUUCCAAGAAACAAAGAUCUUGUUUCUCUUCAUGUCUGUUUUGAAAACCUUGCAACUAUAUAAGCAUGAAAUAAAUAUUUCAGGAGUUCUGUAUUGGUUGAGAACACUGAUUUAAAAAGAAUGCAAAAUGAGUCUAGGUAUGAGUUUCAGAAUUAAUAAUUUUAAUAAAUAAAAGUCAUCUUUUUAUAUAGUCAUACAUUUUAUAUACACUAAGUGUUACAUUUUAUUGAAUUAAGAAAGAUUCCUCUACCCAUAG